rnacentral:rRNA from 1 species
UACGAAGGGGGCUAGCGUUGCUCGGAUUUACUGGGCGUAAAGGGCGCGUAGGCGGACAUUUAAGUCGGGGGUGAAAGCCCGGGGCUCAACCUCGGAAUUGCCUUCGAUACUGGACGUCUUGAGUGUGAGAGAGGUGUGUGGAACUCCGAGUGUAGAGGUGAAAUUCGUAGAUAUUCGGAAGAACACCAGUGGCGAAGGCGACACACUGGCUCACUACUGACGCUGAGGCGCGAAAGCGUGGGGAGCAAACAGG